GGCGCCGAGCGCCCGCUGAGCAGCCACCCUUUGCGCGCCGCCUGGAGCGCAGCUUCCCCGGGCCCUGCCUGGACAGGCCUGCCUGCGUGCUGGGACAUGUCUGGCCUCCAAGGACCGUCGGUGGGCGAUGGCUGCAACGGUGGAGGGGCCAGAGCUGGAGGCAGCUGCUGCCGCAGGAGAUGCUUCGGGGGAUUCGGACGCAGGGUCCAGGGCGCUGCCUUUCCUGGGCGGCAACCGGCUGAGCUUGGACCUGUACCCCGGGGGCUGCCAGCAGCUGCUGCACCUGUGUGUCCAGCAGCCUCUUCAGCUGCUGCAGGUGGAAUUCUUGCGUCUGAGCACUCACGAGGACCCUCAGCUGCUGGAGGCCACCCUGGCCCAGCUGCCUCAGAGCCUGUCCUGCCUCCGCUCCCUGGUCCUCAAAGGUGAGUUCCACCUGUUCUGGGCCCUGUCUCCAUCUCUCGCUCUGCCCUGCCUCUGCUGCAUGUUCUCAAAGGCAAACCCCAGUCCCAGCCCCAGCUCCAGGCCGCCCCUCCCAGCUCCCCAGGUGUGAAAUGUUCUGCUCUUGGUCCUGUCCAGCCCCAUCGCCAUCCUCGGUGAUCACCACCCCCAGUGUGGGGCUGGCUGGGCCCUGGCUCCUGGACCCUGACGCUGUCCAGUGGGGGUCUCUCCAGACCACAGUGCAGAUGUUGUUCCUGGGGAAGGUUGUGGGUGAUGGUUGUCAUCUGAGAUGAGCUGGUGGUCUCCACCCCUGCCUCCUUCCAUUUGCGGGCACCUCUCCGGUGUUUCUGUCUGUCUGUCCCUGUCUGGCUGGGGUGGGGGUGGGGUGGGAGGUCUGUGCCUCUCGAGCAGCUGUUUCUCUGGCUGGCAGGGUCGAUCUGGGACCUCGGACCCUGGCUCUGAGGGCCACAUCCGCCUCCCCCCUUCCCAGGAGGGCAACGCCGGGACACACUGGGUGCCUGUCUCCGGGGUGCCCUGACCAACCUGCCUGCUGGUCUGAGUGGCCUGGCCCAUCUGGCCCACCUGGACCUGAGCUUCAACAGCCUGGAGACAUUGCCGGCCUGUGUCCUGCAGAUGCGAGGUCUGGGUGCGCUCUUGCUGUCUCACAACUGCCUCUCUGAGCUGCCUGAGGCUCUGGGGGCCCUCCCCGCCCUCACCUUCCUCACAGUGACACACAACCGCCUGCAGACGCUGCCCCCAGCACUGGGGGCCCUAUCCACCCUGCAGCGCCUCGAUCUCUCUCAGAAUCUGCUGGACACGCUACCUCCUGAGAUUGGAGGCCUGGGCAGCCUCCUGGAGCUCAACCUGGCCUCCAACCGGCUGCAGAGCCUCCCGGCCUCUCUGGGUGAGUAGCCCCUGCGCCCCGACACACUGGCCCCACGGGAGGGUCCCUGAAGCCUGCCUGUCUUCUGCAGGGGCCUCUGCACCCACAGGCUUGGUCCACAGCUGCCUCUUGGUUGUCCCUCCACCUCCCUGGCCUUUGAGACUCCCUCAGUGGCUUUGUCAGAGUUCUCUGAGUCCAGCUGUGGAGGAGAGUCUGAAACAGCUGCUCUGGGAGGCGGCAGCAGGAGUGUCCCAGCGCCGUGGGCUGGGCUGGUGCCAAGCCUAAGCCAGCACCUGCCCGCAGCGGGACUUCGGUCCUUGCGGCUCCUUGUCCUGCACAGCAACCUCCUGGCCUCUGUGCCAGCUGACUUGGCCCGCCUUCCACUCCUCACCCGGCUCGACCUGAGGGACAACCAGCUCCGGGACCUGCCCCCUGAGCUGCUAGACGCCCCCUUUGUGCGCCUGCAGGGGAACCCCCUGGGUGAGGCCUCGCCAGACGCCCCGAGUUCACCAGUGGCAGCCCUCAUUCCAGAAAUGCCCAGACUGUUCCUGACCUCAGAUUUGGACAGCUUUCCUGUGACCCCUCGAGGCUGCUCAGUGACCCUGGCCUGUGGCAUCCGCCUGCAGUUCCCAGCGGGAGCCACCGCCACCCCCAUCACCAUCCGCUAUCGGCUGCUGCUGCCGGAGCCAGGCCUCGUCCCCCUGGGUCCUCAUGACGCCCUGCUCAGCCAUGUGCUGGAGCUGCAGCCCCAUGGGGUGGCCUUCCAGCAGGAUGUGGGGCUGUGGCUGCUCUUCACCCCACCGCGGGCCCGGCGCUGCCGUGAAGUGGUGGUCAGGACCCGGAAUGACAACAGCUGGGGUGACCUGGAGACCUACCUGGAGGAAGAGGCACCCCAGGUGAGGGCCACCCAGGCCUGCUGGUGGCGAGUGGAGAGCUGCUGCCCUGAGCCGUGCACCUCUGCCCAGAGCCUCACCCUGGCACCUUCCACCCUGCCCCGUCCCUCCUGGAUCCUGCUUCCCUAUGUCCCUGGCACCUUCCACCGCGCCCCGUCUCUCCUGGAUCCUGCUCCCUGUGUCCCUGGCACCUUCCACCCCACCCCGUCCCUCCUGGAUCCUGCUACCCUGUGUCCCUGGCAACUUCCACCCCGUCCCGUCUCUCCUGGAUCCUGCUCCCUGUGUCCCUGACUGGCUGUGCCCUGACCCAGGCUCCUGUGACCUCCUCUCUCCCCCCAUCCCAGCGGCUCUGGGCUCACUGCCAGGUGCCCCACUUCUCCUGGUUCCUUGUGGUUUCCCGCCCUGUGUCCAAUGCCUGCCUGGUGCCACCGGAGGGGACACUGCUGUGCUCCUCGGGUCAUCCUGGGGUCAAAGUCAUCUUCCCCCCUGGGGCCACUGAGGAGCCUCGUCGAGUCUCCAUGCAGGUAUGGCCAGGACAGCACUGAGGGUGGCAGGCCGCGCCUCAGCCCACAGGCAGGUGCUCAGGGGGCCUGUCUGCCCCAGGUGGUGCGCAUGGCUGGCCGAGAGCUGCAGGCCCUCCUGGGAGAACCAGAGGCUGCAGUGAGCCCCCUGCUGUGCCUGUCACAGAGCGGUCCCCCCAGCUUCCUCCGACCGGUCACCGUGCAGCUGCCUCUGCCCUCUGGCAUCACAGGCCUCAGUCUGGACCGUUCCCGCCUGCACCUGUUGUACUGGGCCCCUCCUGCAGCCACCUGGGAUGACAUCACAGCUCAGGUGGUCCUGGAGCUCACCCACCUGUACGCACGCUUCCAGGUCACACACUUCUCCUGGUCAGUGCCCCCCAGCUUUCUGAGCCCCCCUCCCCCAGUCCGUACAGCCCUCCUCAUCCCCAGCUCUCCCAGGUACUGGCUCUGGUACACCACCAAGAACUGUGUGGGAGGCCUGGCUCGGAAGGCCUGGGAGCGGCUGCGGCUGCACCGUGUGAACCUCAUCGCUCUGCAGCGGCGCCGGGACCCUGAGCAGGUCCUGCUGCAGUGCCUGCCCCGAAACAAGGUGGACGCCACCCUUCGGCGGCUGCUGGAGCGGUACCGGGGCCCCGAGCCCUCUGACACGGUGGAGAUGUUCGAGGGCGAAGAGUUCUUUGCAGCCUUCGAGCGCGGCAUCGACGUGGAUGCCGACCGCCCUGACUGCGUGGAGGGCAGAAUCUGCUUUGUCUUCUACUCGCACCUGAAGAAUGUGAAGGAGGUGUCCUUCUACCGUGGCGCGGUGCCUGUGCAGGUGCCCGAGGAGGCUGAGGCUGCCCGGCAGAGGAAGGGCGCAGAUGCCCUGUGGAUGGCCACUCUGCCCAUCAAGCUGCCGGUGGGACUGAGGGACAGCAGAGGGGCGGGGCAGGACCGAGGCCCAGGGGUGACCAGGGUGACGUGGUGGAGUUGGGGGUGGAGCCCAGGGCUUACUGCACUUUUUCCUUCCAACAGAGACUUCGGGGGUCCGAGGGGCCACGGCGGGGGGCUGGCCUCUCCUUGGCACCCUUGAAUCUGGGAGAUGCCGAGACCGGCUUUCUGACGCAGAGCAACCUGCUGAGUGUGGCUGGGCGCCUGGGUCUGGACUGGCCAGCCGUGGCCCUGCACCUGGGGGUGUCCUACCGGGAGGUGCAGCGCAUCCGGCACGAGUUCCGGUGAGGCUCCCACUGCCCGCUGGCUGCCAGCCCCAGGGCUGAGCCCUGGCUGCCUGGAGGGCCCACCUGAUUCUGACAGAAGUUUCUUCCAGGGGAGGUGGGGGAAGGGCAAACACCAGGCUGGAAAGGAAAGGUCUGGCCGCAGCUGGCCCCAGGAGCCGGGAACUCCCCCACACUCCGAGGCAGUGUGGUGGGGGGUCCUGGGCAGGUGGACAGGACCCCUCUGUCGCCCAUCCUCUGCCUGCAGGGAUGAUCUGGAUGAGCAGAUCCGUCACAUGCUCUUCUCCUGGGCUGAGCGCCAGGCUGGGCAGCCAGGGGCUGUGGGGCUCCUGGUGCAGGCCCUGGAGCAGAGUGACCGGCAGGACGUGGCUGAAGAGGUGCGCGCAGUCUUGGAGCUCGGCCGCCGCAAGUACCAGGACGGCAUCCGACGCACGGGCUUGGCCCCCAAGGACGCCGCUCUGCCUGGCUCCUCGGCUCCACAGCCCCCAGAGCCUGCCCAGGCCUAGGCCCCACAGACUUUUAGGCUGGCCCAGAUAUUCCCCAGUGGAUGGGCAGAGCCCCCACCUUCAAGUCUCUCCAGUGUGUGGGGACGGGUCCCUGUGAGCAACAAAACUGCACUGUUUCUUUC
rnacentral:sRNA from 1 species